rnacentral:rRNA from 1 species
GACGAACGCUGGCGGCGUGCCUAACACAUGCAAGUCGAGCGAAUGAAGUUCCUUCGGGAAUGGAUUUAGCGGCGGACGGGUGAGUAACACGUGGGCAACCUGCCUCAUAGAGGGGAAUAGCCUUCCGAAAGGGAGAUUAAUACCGCAUAAGAUUGUAGUACCGCAUGAUACAGCAAUUAAAGGAGCAAUCCGCUAUGAGAUGGGCCCGCGGCGCAUUAGCUAGUUGGUGAGGUAACGGCUCACCAAGGCGACGAUGCGUAGCCGACCUGAGAGGGUGAUCGGCCACAUUGGGACUGAGACACGGCCCAGACUCCUACGGGAGGCAGCAGUGGGGAAUAUUGCACAAUGGGGGAAACCCUGAUGCAGCAACGCCGCGUGAGUGAUGACGGCCUUCGGGUUGUAAAGCUCUGUCUUCAGGGACGAUAAUGACGGUACCUGAGGAGGAAGCCACGGCUAACUACGUG